GUGCGAGGGCACCAGCCGCCAGCCGCAACCCGCAGGGGCGCUAGCAGACGAGCAGAGCAGGCUAGCAGCACUGCAGCAGUACCACAGCGGCGCAGCGCAGUCUGCAGCCGGCCAGCCGCAGCCCGCAGGUAGGGGCGGUAGGCGCAUCGAGCGCGUAGCCGCCAGGCGCCACCGCGCCAGGGGCAGGGCACGAGCAGCGGGCAGCGGCCAGUCGACCACCGGCCACCGGCCAGGCCAGCGACGCGCACACGCCGACGCCCACUACACUCGACCACUCGCGCAGGCCCAGUGACCAGCCGUCCAGCCGCCAGCGUGCUGUACUGCUGUUUCACUAUUCCAGUUCCAGGCUUCCAGGUUUCAGGCCAGCGUGUUAAAAUUCACGUGCUAAUGUUGAUGAAGUUAUAGAGACGGAGAAGGACCAAAUCGUCUCUAAUUAGGUACUUUUAUAUUUUUAAUCAAGUUUAUUGUAUUUUUAGAUGCUGAAUUGAAGUAAAUAUUAUCUUAGUUUAUGUUUGUGGUAUAUUUAGUUUUAGCGGUAUAAUUAGCCGCACAAUAUAUUAGGGCUGUUUAAAGUAACCUUCAAGUUUUAUAGAGUGGCCCGGGACGUUAAUUUUAUAGAGCUCCGCCACUGCUUAUAACUUUUUUAGAUACAUUAAUUUUAUGGGACAAUUGUGAUUAUACUCUUGUCCGACAUUGCAAUUGUGAUUUUAUCCCUUAUUUUUCAA